AUUGCCCUAGUAACGGCGAGUGAAGCGGCAACAGCUCAAAUUUGAAAUCUGGCUCUUUUAGAGUCCGAGUUGUAAUUUGCAGAGGGCGCUUUGGCUUUGGCAGCGGUCCAAGUUCCUUGGAACAGGACGUCACAGAGGGUGAGAAUCCCGUACGUGGUCGCUAGCUAUUGCCGUGUAAAGCCCCUUCGACGAGUCGAGUUGUUUGGGAAUGCAGCUCUAAAUGGGAGGUAAAUUUCUUCUAAAGCUAAAUACUGGCCAGAGACCGAUAGCGCACAAGUAGAGUGAUCGAAAGAUGAAAAGCACUUUGGAAAGAGAGUCAAACAGCACGUGAAAUUGUUGAAAGGGAAGCGCUUGCCGCCAGACUUGCUUGCAGUUGCUCACCCGGGCCCUUUUGCCCGGUGCACUCUUCUGCAGGCAGGCCAGCAUCAGUUUGGGCGGUGGGAUAAAGGUCUCUGUCACGUACCUCUCUUCGGGGAGGCCUUAUAGGGGAGACGACAUACCACCAGCCUGGACUGAGGUCCGCGCAUUUUUUGCUAGGAUGCUGGCGUAAUGGCUGUAAGCGGCCCGUCUUGAAACACGGACCAAGGAGUCUAACAUCUAUGCGAGUGUUUGGGUGUCAAGCCCGAACGCGUAAUGAAAGUGAACGGAGGUGGGAACCCGCAAGGGUGCACCAUCGACCGAUCCUGAUGUCUUCGGAAGGAUUUGAGUAAGAGCAUGGCUGUUGGGACCCGAAAGAUGGUGAACUAUGCUUGAAUAGGGUGAAGCCAGAGGAAACUCUGGUGGAGGCUCGCAGCGGUUCUGACGUGCAAAUCGAUCGUCAAAUUUGGGCAUAGGGGCGAAAGACUAAUCGAAUAUCUAGUA
rnacentral:rRNA from 1 species